CAUAUGUUGUAUGAUUGAGUUGGCAUUGGGAGUUGUGUGUGUAACAUGGCCCGAGAGUGGCUGGAGAAUAAUAUUAAUUUGAUAAUCAUGAAGUACAUAAAUUAAUUAUGUAUUAUUAAUUAAUAGUGUUACACCCAAAUGAUACAAGAAAUAUUAUUUUUUAUGUAAUACAUAUAUGCAAAAAGUAUUCCAAAUCCAAAGUAUUUCUUUUAUUCAUUAGCUAAAUACAAUACUUAUUCAUUAUUAUUAGUAUUUUCAAUUCAUAGUAUAUUUAUUUAUGAUUUUACUCAUAGGUCAAAUAAGGUAUAUUCAAAGACUAGGUCCUGAUAUAAAAUAGUUUUAAUCUUUUUUAAAGAUGAUUAUAAAGUAGUUAAAUUUCCUCUUCAUCCAGUUGUAUUCAAUAAUAUUAUUACAAGAAAAUAUGUGUGUGUUUUAUUUGAAUUGUAUUGAUUUUGAUGUAUUAUAUAGAUUCUAUGUGACUCCUGGAAAUAAUAUUGCAAUGACCUACAAAAUGAAAAUGAAUUAUAUGUUUUUCUACAUUUAAAUGGUAUUUCUUUUAAUUCCCCAGACUUUUAAUUAAUACCAAAAUUACCAGGGAUCCAGUUCUCUACUUACUUUUAAAAGCUAGCCAGCCUACUUUGCGUGAGUAUUACCUAAUUUACUGCUUUUAUAUAUGUACAUGAAAAUAACAUCAUGUGCAAUUUUAAUGUAUUUUCAGAUUAAUGAGUUUUUAUUAUUAUCAAUCAUUGAUAAUGUUUGAAGUGUUUUUAGGUAGCAUAAAAAUGAAUUCAAAGUGUUUUUAAGGUACCAUAAAAAUGAUUUCAAUGUAGGUUUAAAAGUAAUUUUAAUCAUUUUAAAAUUUUUCAGAAUCAUUAUAAGAGCUCUGUAAAUGAUUCUAAAAUUAAUAUUUUGCCAAGUUCAUUAAUUGUAAAUGAUUUAUAGAUGAAUAUCUAUAAUUUUUUAUGAUUUUCAACGAUUAAAAACAACUUUUUAAGUACUUUUCUACUCAUUCCCUUGCUGCUUGGGAAUUUUCAAAACCACACUUGACGGGUUUCUGAAAUAAACGAUUCAAUUAUAGAUAUUUAUGACAGAAUUAAAUCUGAUCUAAGUUUGAAUAUCAGGCCUCUAUUUAAAAUGAGAAUUAGUUGAUCACAAACAUCGAAUUCCAUGUAAUUACUGUAUA